rnacentral:tRNA from 2 species
AAGGUUUUAAGUUAAAAAAACUAAUAGCCUUCAAAGCUAUAAAUAUAAGAUAAAUCUUUUAAGCCUUA